AAACAAGGUAGGCUAAUACCGGAUAGAAAGACGGAUCGCAUGAUCAGCUUUUAAAAGGACGGCGUAAGCUGUCGCUAUGGGAUGGCCCCGCCGGUGCAUUAGCUAGUUGGUAAGGUAAAGGCUUACCAAGGCGAUGAUGCAUAGCCGAGUUGAGAGACUGAUCGGCCACAUUGGGACUGAGACACGGCCCAAACUCCUACGGGAGGCAGCAGCC
rnacentral:rRNA from 1 species